rnacentral:rRNA from 1 species
AUACGGAGGAUGCGAGCGUUAUUCGGAUUUAUUGGGUUUAAAGGGAGCGUAGGCGGGAGCUUAAGUCAGCGGUUAAAUGGUGCGGCUCAACCGUGCCCUGCCGUUGAAACUGGGUUUCUUGAGAGUGCAAGAGGCGGAUGGAAUUCAUGGUGUAGGGGGGAAAUGCUUAGAUAUCAUGAAGAACUCCGAUUGCGAAGGCAGUCCGCUGGGGCACGUCUGACGCUGAUGCUCGAAGGUGCGGGAAUCAAACAGGAUUAGAUACCCUGGUAGUCCGCACGGUAAACGAUGAUUACCCGCUGUCGGCGGCAGACAGUCGGCGGCCAAGCGAAAGCGAUAAGUAAUCCACCUGGGGAGUACGCCGGCAACGGUGAAACUCAAAUGAAUUGGCGGGG